UACGUAGGUUGCAAGCGUUGUCCGGAAUUACUGGGCGUAAAGCGCGCGCAGGCGGUCUUGAAAGUCCACGGUGAAAGCUCCCGGCCCAACUGGGAGAGGCCCGUGGAAACUUCGAGACUUGAAGGCGGGAGAGGCAAAUGGAAUUUCCGGUGUAGCGGUAAAAUGCGUAGAUACCGGAAGGAACACCAGUGGCGAAGGCGAUUUGCUGGCCCGCACUUGACGCUCAGGCGCGAAAGCUAGGGUAGCGACC
rnacentral:rRNA from 1 species